rnacentral:tRNA from 1 species
UUAAAAGAAGCCAAAGGGGAGGCAUGUCACUGUUAAUGACAAUUAGAUUUUAUUUAAAGAAUCCUUUUAAA